UACGUAGGGUGCAAGCGUUAAUCGGAAUUCCUGGGCGUCAAGCGUGCGCAGGCGGUUUUGUAAGACAGGUGUGAAAUCCCCGGGCUUAACCUGGGAACUGCAUUUGUGACUGCAAGGCUGGAGUGCGGCAGAGGGGGAUGGAAUUCCGCGUGUAGCAGUGAAAUGCGUAGAGAUGUGGAGGAACACCGAUGGCGAAGGCAGCCCCCUGGGUCAAGAUUGACGCUCAUGCACGAAAGCGUGGGGAGCAAACAGG
rnacentral:rRNA from 1 species